rnacentral:rRNA from 1 species
UCGAGCGAACGGACGAGAAGCUUGCUUCUCUGAUGUUAGCGGCGGACGGGUGAGUAACACGUGGAUAACCUACCUAUAAGACUGGGAUAACUUCGGGAAACCGGAGCUAAUACCGGAUAAUAUUUUGAACCGCAUGGUUCAAAAGUAAAAGACGGUCUUGCUGUCACUUAUAGAUGGAUCCGCGCUGCAUUAGCUAGUUGGUAAGGUAACGGCUUACCAAGGCAACGAUGCAUAGCCGACCUGAGAGGGUGAUCGGCCACACUGGAACUGAGACACGGUCCAGACUCCUACGGGAGGCAGCAGUAGGGAAUCUUCCGCAAUGGGCGAAAGCCUGACGGAGCAACGCCGCGUGAGUGAUGAAGGUCUUCGGAUCGUAAAACUCUGUUAUUAGGGAAGAACAUAUGUGUAAGUAUCUGUGCACAUCUUGACGGUACCUAGUCAGAAAGCCACGGCUAACUACGUGCCAGCAGCCGCGGUAAUACGUAGGUGGCAAGCGUUAUCCGGAAUUAUUGGGCGUAAAGCGCGCGUAGGCGGUUUUUUAAGUCUGAUGUGAAAGCCCACGGCUCAACCGUGGAGGGUCAUUGGAAACUGGAAAACUUGAGUGCAGAAGAGGAAAGUGGAAUUCCAUGUGUAGCGGUGAAAUGCGCAGAGAUAUGGAGGAACACCAGUGGCGAAGGCGACUUUCUGGUCUG